GUGCCCCUGAGUUGGAUUACCAGUGCCAAAACAAAACAAAACCUAAGGAGGGGAUAUAACUCAGUGGUAGAGUAUGGGCCGAACACGUGUGAGGCCCUGAGUUUGAUACUGAAGGGGACCAGGAUGGCUAAAACAAAAAAUCCCUAAGGAAAUGAAUGGAUCAAUAGAGAUAUGAAUAGACAGAGAGAUGUGUGAUGAGCCAACAACAAGAAAUUAUAGAAUCUGGAUGAUAAUCAUGUGGAUGUCACUGCAUAAUUCUUUACCCUUCCUCUCUUUUGAAAAUUCCCAAAUACUCAAUUCUAUUAACUACACAUGAAAGUCAAGAGUAAUAAUGUGAUUAAAGUCCACAAGGUCUGGGGCUGGGGGCAUAGCUCAGUGUCAGAGGGCUUGCCUAGCAAGCCCUAGGUUCAAUCCCCAGCAUUGAAAAAGGAAAACAAAAAGCCACAAGAUCUGCAUGCUGCAUUAAUGCCCAGGUUUAUCUAUCUUGCAGGUUAAGUUCAGCGAACUAACUGUUGACAUGUUUCGGAUGUUACAAGCCCUGGAGAGAGAGCCGAUGAAUUUAGCUUCCCAGAUGAAUAAACCAGGAAUGCAGGUGAUCUUCUUCCUACAUUUGCAAAUGUGGCAACUCCCUUGCUGCCUCCAUGUUCCUCAUGUGGUAUUUAUUGAUUUUUACAUUCAAAUGUAUGCAUAUGAACACAGAGCUCUCUCUUGAUAGGAUAAGGAGAAAUAGAUCAUACACUGAACAUAAAAAAGGAUAUUUGAUAGGGAGGAGAGGUAAUGUUGGCAUUGAUAAUUCAUCUGUCAAAUAUGCUUUUAUGUGUAUUGGUUUCUGUGUGUAAAUAUAGGAAUCAGCUGACAAACCUACCAGACGAGAAAACCCCCACAAGUAUCUGCUCUACAAACCAACCUUCAGUCAGCUGUACACAUUCUUAGCAGCAUCUUUUAAGGUACGUGUAAUACAACACUUUUUCCCAUGUGGGGAAAGUAUGCCCUGAGGGGAUCCAAGAGUCAUUCUUAUCUGAAUAUUUGAGUUAAGAGUUUAGGUAAAAUGUGGAAAAUGAAAAACUUUAGAAUAAUAGUCCUAAAUAUAAUAAAUAAAAACUUCAGAAUAUAU
rnacentral:lncRNA from 1 species